rnacentral:rRNA from 1 species
UACGAAGGGGGCUAGCGUUGCUCGGAAUCACUGGGCGUAAAGCGCACGUAGGCGGCUUGUUAAGUCAGGGGUGAAAUCCUGGAGCUCAACUCCAGAACUGCCUUUGAUACUGGCGAUCUUCGAGUCCGGGAGAGGUGAGUGGAACUCCGAGUGUAGAGGUGAAAUUCGUAGAUAUUCGGAAGAACACCAGUGGCGAAGGCGGCUCACUGGCCCGGUACUGACGCUUAAGAGCGAAAGCGUGGGGAGCAAACAGG